rnacentral:lncRNA from 1 species
UGCGUUUGUAAUAAUCAGUAUCUAUAGCACUAAAUGCUAAAGAACUAGAAGUUUAACGUUUGAAGGCAACACGACACCCUUUGAUUAUUAGAUAGAAGCAUUAGUCCAUUUGGCAGCACAGAGUUACCAAAUAUGCAUCUCUUCUAGAAUGAACAUGCCAGCAUUUGAAUUUGGUAUCAAGAAAAGCUAGAUUUGGAAAAUACAUGUUAGUUCAAAUUAAGCACC